rnacentral:rRNA from 1 species
AGAGUUUGAUCAUGGCUCAGGAUGAACGCUGGCGGCGUGCCUAAUACAUGCAAGUCGAGCGAACCACUUCGGUGGUGAGCGGCGAACGGGUGAGUAACACGUAGGUGAUCUGCCCAUCAGACGGGGACAACGAUUGGAAACGAUCGCUAAUACCGGAUAGGACGAAAGUUUAAAGGUGCUUCUGGCACCGCUGAUGGAUGAGCCUGCGGCGCAUUAGCUAGUUGGUAGGGUAAAGGCCUACCAAGGCGACGAUGCGUAGCCGACCUGAGAGGGUGAACGGCCACACUGGAACUGAGACACGGCCCAGACUCCUACGGGAGGCAGCAGUAGGGAAUCUUCGGCAAUGGGCGAAAGCCUGACCGAGCAACGCCGCGUGAAUGAUGAAGGCCUUCGGGUUGUAAAAUUCUGUUAUAAGGGAAGAACGACUUUAGUAGGAAAUGGCUAGAGUGUGACGGUACCUUAUGAGAAAGCCACGGCUAACUACGUGCCAGCAGCCGCGGUAAUACGUAGGUGGCGAGCGUUAUCCGGAAUUAUUGGGCGUAAAGAGCGCGCAGGUGGUUGAUUAAGUCUGAUGUGAAAGCCCACGGCUUAACCGUGGAGGGUCAUUGGAAACUGGUCGACUUGAGUGCAGAAGAGGGAAGUGGAAUUCCAUGUGUAGCGGUGAAAUGCGUAGAGAUAUGGAGGAACACCAGUGGCGAAGGCGGCUUCCUGGUCUGUAACUGACACUGAGGCGCGAAAGCGUGGGGAGCAAACAGGAUUAGAUACCCUGGUAGUCCGCGCCGUAAACGAUGAGUGCUAAGUGUUGGGGGUCGAA